CAAGCAGCAAUCAAUAUAAAUUAAUUUGUAAUCAGUCAAGCAUAAAAUGUGAAAAGGCUCAAAAUCUUUUAGCAUUAUUUGGAAUAACUUCAGUCAAAAAUUCAGUACGAGGGCGAGGGCGAGGCUUUUUAUUCAAAAAAUUUCGAUCACUUCUCGAAGUUUAAAAAAGCGCUGAAGGACUUUCCCACAACUAAGCCAAUGUGCGGCAGUAUGAUAAGAUUCCUGAAGAAACGGUUGAUGAUUAGGUCAGAAAAAAACACUCAAGUCAAUCCUAUAUAGUUUGAUAUGAAGAGGAAAAGUGUACAACCAAAUUCGCUUAAAGUUAAGCAUAUAAGUGUGUGUUCGCAGAAAUCUUUAUUCACGCUUCAGCAAAAAGCUGAAUGAGGUUUACGAUUACCUUGUCAAGCUGGAUUAACAUCAAAACAAAUCAUAAACAGAAUGGAGGCUGUUUAAGGUGACUUGUGUUCGUUGAGUAUGCGAAUCGUUAUAAGAUGACACAAGUUUGGGAGGUUCUGUGACGGUGACUAUUUAAGAAAACAUUUAAUUAGUGGAAGAAAUUGUUCUAAGGGACCACCGCCUAAAAACAAUAGAAAUUGCAGGACAGGCCGGCAUUUUCAACACAGAGUUCUGAGGAAAAUGUAUCAUCUAGAAAAACAACAUGAAUAAGAUUUUUUUGUUUGUUUGUUUGAUUCUAACCAAAGAACCCUUCUGAGAUGAAAAGGGGACCUCAAUUAUGCCAGUACCUACAGUUUAAUUUAUGGACCAUACAUUAUCAAUGGAAAAUUCUUUUCACAAAUUUUUAAUAACAAUUGUUCAAUGAAUGUAGUUUCCAGUUUCAAAAACUUGAGUAUUUUUUUGAAUUUUCAGUUAGGUUCAAAAAAAUUAAUGAAUAAAAUCUUCUUCGUUAAAUGUGCCAUUGUAUUUCACCUAUGUUUUUAUUGCCACUAUCGGCUGUAAAACUUGUUUGCAAAAAAAAGUAGAAAACCAAUAUAUGAGGUUGGCAACUAAGUACUUUCGCUUUUUACUGAUAGAGAGACUUGCUCCAUUGUAAUAACUUUUGUUAGUGCUGCACUUUGCCGUUUGUCACGUGAUACUGGUCACAUUGAGGGAACGUUAGAAGCUAGUGCGUGAUUUUU